GCGCAUGGUGAGACUCGUAGAGCGGCUCUUCUGCGGCUACGGAGGACGAGACCUGCUGCACUGCGUCUGAAACCAUAAAGAGACGUUUAAUGUGGAACGUCCAUGAGACAAUUAAGUAGAAAAAAAGUGUCAUGUUACAGAGAAAACGCGAAGCGUAAACUCCUCUGUCCUGAAGAUGUCAGAAAACUUAAAUUUACAGCUUUACCUCUGACAAAGUGCUGACACUGGAGACUCCUUCCAUAAAGAUUAAAUAAACAUCUAAGCCUUGUCUAACCUCUUCUGGAGCUCCUCGAGCGUGCGCUGCAGUUUCUGGUUCUCCUGCCGAAUCCUGGCCGACUCGUCGCGGUAUUCAGACACGGCCUGACCCAUCAGACGCAGGACCUCGUGCACGGCCGUCGCCAAAAGCUCGGCCACGUUGGUGACCAGG